rnacentral:ncRNA from 17 species
GUAGAGUGGCCAGGUCGUCAUCACACCCGUACGGGGGGAAGCCGGUGCAAUUCCGGCGCUGACCCGCAACCGUGAGCCGCCUCCUGCCGGGGGCGGCGAGCCGGAUCGCCCCGUGUCGGUACUUGUGACCGGC